rnacentral:rRNA from 1 species
GAGUUUGAUCAUGGCUCAGGACGAACGCUGACGGCGUGCUUAACACAUGCAAGUCGAACGGAAAGGCCCCCACUUUUUUGGUGGGGGUGCUCGAGUGGCGAACGGGUGAGUAACACGUGGGUGAUCUGCCCUGCACUUCGGGAUAAGCUUGGGAAACUGGGUCUAAUACCGGAUAGGACCAUGGUUUAGUGUCUCAUGGUGGAAAAAUUAUUGUUUUGGUGCAGGAUGAGCUCGCGGCCUAUCAGCUUGUUGGUGGGGUAAUGGCCUACCAAGGCGUCGACGGGUAGCCGGCCUGAGAGGGUGGACGGCCACAUUGGGACUGAGAUACGGCCCAGACUCCUACGGGAGGCAGCAGUGGGGAAUAUUGCACAAUGGGCGCAAGCCUGAUGCAGCGACGCCGCGUGGGGGAUGACGGCCUUCGGGUUGUAAACUCCUUUCGUUAGGGACGAAGCCGCACCUGUUUUGGGUGUGGUGACGGUACCUUUGUUAAGAAGCACCGGCUAACUACGUGCCAGCAGCCGCGGUAAUACGUAGGGUGCGAGCGUUGUCCGGAAUUACUGGGCGUAAAGAGCUCGUAGGUGGUUUGUUGCGUCGUCUGUGAAAUUCCGGGGCUUAACUUCGGGGUGGCAGGCGAUACGGGCAUAACUAGAGUGCUGUAGGGGAGACUGGAAUUCCUGGUGUAGCGGUGGAAUGCGCAGAUAUCAGGAGGAACGCCGAUGGCGAAGGCAGGUCUCUGGGCAGUAACUGACGCUGAGGAGCGAAAGCAUGGGGAGCGAACAGGAUUAGAUACCCUGGUAGUCCAUGCUGUAAACGGUGGGCGUUAGGUGUGGGGACCGGUUUGGUUUCUGUGCCGUAGCUAACGCAUUAAGCGCCCCGCCUGGGGAGUACGGCCGCAAGGCUAAAACUCAAAGGAAUUGACGGGGGCCCGCACAAGCGGCGGAGCAUGUGGAUUAAUUCGAUGCAACGCGAAGAACCUUACCUGGGUUUGACAUGCACCAGACGGUUGUAGAGAUACGUACCUCCCUUUGUGGUUGGUGUGCAGGUGGUGCAUGGUUGUCGUCAGCUCGUGUCGUGAGAUGUUGGGUUAGGUCCCGCAACGAGCGCAACCCUUGUCUUAUGUUGCCAGCACGUUUGGGUGGGGACUCAUGAGAGACUGCCGGGGUUAACUCGGAGGAAGGUGGGGAUGACGUCAAAUCAUCAUGCCCUUUAUGCCCAGGGCUUCACACAUGCUACAAUGGUUAGUACAACGCGCUGCGAGCCUGUGAGGGUGAGCGAAUCGCUGAAAGCUAAUCUCAGUUCGGAUUGGGGUCUGCAACUCGACCCCAUGAAGUCGGAGUCGCUAGUAAUCGCAGAUCAGCAAUGCUGCGGUGAAUACGUUCCCGGGCCUUGUACACACCGCCCGUC